rnacentral:other from 1 species
GGCAGCCUGCCUUGUUCGUUGAUAAGGUUGUUUCGAACCAACACAUUUUAUAAGGGAUUCUUAGAUUGGUAUAUGGAUUGCAGGCCCUCACAUAUAGUGGAAUGGGAAGCGCGAAGUAUACUUGUGGAAACCCACCUGCACAUGCAGGUCCGGAAACGACUUUAUAAGACGGCAAGGCGGGUUAUUU